rnacentral:rRNA from 1 species
UACGUGGGGCGCAAGCGUUGUCCGGAAUUAUUGGGCGUAAAGAGCUCGUAGGUGGCUUGUUGCGUCUGCCGUGAAAGCCCGUGGCUUAACUACGGGUCUGCGGUGGAUACGGGCAGGCUAGAGGCUGGUAGGGGCAAGCGGAAUUCCUGGUGUAGCGGUGAAAUGCGCAGAUAUCAGGAGGAACACCGGUGGCGAAGGCGGCUUGCUGGGCCAGUUCUGACGCUGAGGAGCGAAAGCGUGGGGAGCGAACAGG